ACGCCAAUACGAAAAUCCACCGUAUCCGCGUACCCAUCCCUAGGCGAGAGGGGAUGGUGCCCUGGCACCAGCCACACGAGCGCCCUCACCUGCUCCUGCGACGCUCGUCGGCUCAGCAGCAGUCCUCCCCCACAAAAGCAGAGACGCGUCCGACGCCGCCACCAAAAGCACCUUCCCCAGCCACGCUCCGCCGCCAUAGCCGCAGGAAAAUAUCAAAUCGGAGCCGCGAAGCACAACAGAAAUUUUUUUCCCUAGGGCUUGCACGCAAAACCCUCCUGAAUUCCCCAAUUCCGUGCCGUCCCUCGCUUCUUGUGGGCCACGAAUCUAGGGUUUAUGCAUGGCUUCUGACCCUCCCGGAGAUGGCACCAGUGGUGAGGAGACGGCGCCGGGCCCUGCCCCCGCCGUGGAGGCGCCGCCUGCUCCCGCCGUUCCGGCCAGGUCGCGCUGGGCCGCUGAGAUCAAGGUCUACACCCGUAAGCACCCCCGCAAAAACCCUAAACCUCCUCCAGAAUCAGCGGCUGACCCCGUUUCUGUUCCUUCCCCGGCUCCGAAUCCCCUUUCUGAAACCUUAUCCUCGAUUCGCCGCUCCAUCCACCGCACGGAGGCGGUGGACGCUGCGGCGCUGUCCGAUCCGGCAGCGCCGGCCUCGGUUCCCACCCGGGCGCCGUCUGGGGAACGUGGCGCCGCCUCUGGGGAUCCCUCGUCUGGGCUGAACCGGGUCGGCGGCGGUAUUCCUAACGGCCACGGCGACGACCGGGCGGCCGCCGCUGCUGUGAAAGCUGAGAAAGCACGGAAACGCAGGUUAAGGAGUGAGCUGCGGCGCUGUCUGGCAGGAGAGCUCGACCAGGUCCGCGUGCUCUCCAGGCGACUGAAGGAGGCUGCCGAGGCCCUGGCGCAACAGGAGGCUUCUGAGCCCGUGCCUUUGCCUUUGAUGGUGCUGCCAACACAGCAGCAGGUGGUGGAUGCUGGGUAUGUUCAGCACCAGUUCUUGGCUGGUGAUAUGGCGGUGCCCAUGCCUACUCAGAUUGCAGCUGCCGUUACUCCUGCCCGCUCGCUGCUGCAUCGCAGACCACUAACCGUGUCAGUUGUUCAUAAUGAAGCCUUUGAGAAGGAGAAACGGACGCCGAAGGCCAAUCAAUUGUACCAAAAUUCAGAGUUCUUGCUUGCCAAGGAUAGGAUUCCUCCCUCAGAUUCACAUGUGCGCAAGAAACCCAAGCACCACAAGAAGAAACAUAGGUCCCUAGAAUCUCGUGGCGCAGACUUUGAUGCCGAGCGGCGCCUGUACUCUCAUGCGUUCAAGAAGUCCUCAUCACUUCUGAGCCGCUUAAUGAAGCACAAGUUUGGGUGGGUGUUCAACAAGCCUGUUGAUCCAGUCACACUUGGUUUGCAUGAUUAUUUUACUAUUAUCAAGCACCCAAUGGAUCUUGGCACAAUAAGGGGGCGGCUGAGCCGUGGGCAGUACAGGAACCCUAAGGAGUUUGCUGAGGAUGUCCGUCUUACUUUCCAUAAUGCGAUGACAUAUAAUCCCAAGGGUCAGGAUGUGCAUUUCAUGGCGGAGCAGUUGUUAGGAAUCUUUGAGGCACAGUGGCCUGAGAUUGAGGCUGAGGUUAACUACCUCGCAUCAUGUCCUCCAUUGCCGAAGAAGUUUCCCCCGCCACCAAUUGACCUGCGCUUCCUAGAGAGGUCAGAUUCAAUGAGACACCAUGUGGCAUUGGACACCAAUUCAAGACCGAUCAGUCAUACUCCCACUUAUACCCGAACUCCGUCAAUGAAGAAACCAAGAGCAAAGGAUCCAAAUAAGAGGGACAUGACAAUAGAUGAGAAGCGUAAGCUUAGUGAGAACCUCCAGAAUUUGCCGCCGGUGAAGCUUGAUGCUGUUGUGCAAGUCAUUAAGAACAAGAACUUAUCAGUUAAGCAACAUGAUGAUGAGAUAGAGGUUGAAAUUGAUAGCAUGGAUGCUGAGACACUUUGGGAGCUUGACAGGUUUGUGUCGAACUACAAGAAGAACCUGAGCAAGCAAAAGAGAAAGGCCGAGCGAGCGAUGCUUGCCCGACAAGAUGCAGAGUUGCGUGCACAGCACCCUAUACAACAACCACAACCAACCCCAGUCCCCCAAGAACCUUUUGGUGAAAAAUCUCCAAAACAAGUUGUGAAAGAUUCGCUGGAAGGCGAGCAACUGCCAGCAUCUGCACCAGAACAAAAUGGUGAGAAUAGACAGAAUGCGAGUAGUUCAAGCAAUUCAAGCAGCUCCAGCAGUGGCUCAGGAUCAUCUUCUAGUGGCUCAGACAGUGAUAGCUCCUCUUCAGAUGGAUCUGAUGCUGGCAAUUCAUCUUGAGAUAUAGAUGCAUGCCUUUUUCUUUUGAGACCAGUGCCAUGGGGCCUUGGGCGCCUCCGUUCUGGUCAGCCCUGAUGUUAACGUUUCUGCUAGAUACCGUUCUUGUUUGGUAGACGAGAAACAUUGUGUGGCUGGUGUUAAAUGGUUCAGAAGUUCUGUCGAGUAGGCAAUAACUGCCUAUUUGACGCGACAAUAGCACCAUAAGAUUGUACAUGCUUACCUUGUCUGGCUUAGGGAACCCCUGUAGUUUAAGUAGGUUUUGUAUGUCGAUUCACCCGCUGAUGAAGGCAGUAACUUGUAGGUUUCGUGGUGUACCCGCCUAAUAAGACUAGGCUUGUUGCUGACACCGUCCCUUGGUACACCGCACUUUUGCUAGGAGCCCUCUGGCUGGCCCAGACAGUACUAGCAUGUACAUUAGCGGCAGCUUGAACGCUGAUUUUGUUUAGCUGUGUUGAUUGCAGUAUGUAGGAAGGCGACUGCUGUAUGCAUUUUUUUCUUACUUUUGUUUAACUUACGGAUGAAAGCAUUGGCAGGCCAUACAACCCCUGAUGGUGUUUAGUUUGCCACCAUCUUUCUGUGGAGUACCAGUGACUGCGGAGGCUUCAUCACCACACCAUGCGCAAAAGUCUGUUCGAUUGGCUGCUCUAAAUUUGGGUCUUGGGUUUGCAUAAAGUUUGUUGAUGCACAUGAUGUUCCUCAUCACGAUCAUUGAUGGUCCAUUGUUAUGUUAUGGAGUGAUGAGGAAUAGGUGGUUGUGUUGGGCACGAGCACGAGAGAUGAUGUGUAGCAGUUCGGACCUUUGGGUGGGUAGCAGUAGGUAGCCUCCCCUCCUUUCCCCUGGUCUGGUGAUGAUGGUUUGUUGGAGAUGUGGCUAUAUGUGCGUAUGAUAUGCCGUGGCUCCUUUUGAGCUGUUUGCUGGC